rnacentral:rRNA from 1 species
CUCGAAGAGUUUGAUCCUGGCUCAGAAUGAACGCUGGCGGCGUGGAUUAGGCAUGCAAGUCGAACGCGAAAGUUACCUUCGGGUUUCCGGUAGCGUGGCGGAAGGGUGAGGAAUGUAUAGGUAACCUACCCCCGGGACGGGGAUAAGGGCCGAAAGCCUGGUAAUACCCGAUAUGGUGGACUUUAUUACGGUUAGGUCCAUUAAAGUUGGCUUCGCGCUUUCGCCCGGGGAGGGGCCUAUGCCCCAUCAGCUUGUUGGCGGGGUAAAAGCCCACCAAGGCUAUGACGGGUAGCCGGUUUGAGAGGAUGGCCGGUCACACUGGGACUGAGACACUGCCCAGACUCCUACGGGAGGCUGCAGUCGAGAAUCAUUGGCAAUGGACGAAAGUCUGACCAUGCGACGCCGCGUGGGGGAUGAAGGCCUUCGGGUUGUAAACCCCUUUCGGGAGUUAAGAAAUGCACGUGGACGAAUACUCCGCGUGCUUGACAAAGGCUCCAAAAGAAGCCACGGCUAAAUCCGUGCCAGCAGCCGCGGUAAUACGGAUGUGGCGAGCGUUAUUCGGAAUCACUGGGCUUAAAGCGCACGUAGGCGGUUUUGCAAGCAGGGUUGUGAAAUCCCUCGGCUCAACCGAGGAACUGCACCCUGAACUGCAUAACUUGAGGAUGGAAGAGGAGAGUGGAAUUCCUGGUGGAGCGGUGAAAUGCGUAGAUAUCAGGAGGAACGCC